CUUAGAGCCAGAUGCAAAGCCCACAGAAAUCAAUGGGAGCCCUUCCAGUGACUUCAGUGGGCUUUGGAUCUGGUCCUUAA
rnacentral:miRNA from 1 species